rnacentral:rRNA from 1 species
GAUGAACGCUGGCUACAGGCUUAACACAUGCAAGUCGAGGGGAAACGACGGGGAAGCUUGCUUCCCCGGGCGUCGACCGGCGCACGGGUGAGUAACGCGUAUCCAACCUGCCUCUGACUGAGGGAUAACCCGUCGAAAGUCGGCCUAAUACCUCAUGGCAUCGUCUGCGGGCAUCCAACGACGAUUAAAGAUUUCAUCGGUCAGGGAUGGGGAUGCGUCUGAUUAGCUUGUUGGCGGGGUAACGGCCCACCAAGGCUACGAUCAGUAGGGGUUCUGAGAGGAAGGUCCCCCACAUUGGAACUGAGACACGGUCCAAACUCCUACGGGAGGCAGCAGUGAGGAAUAUUGGUCAAUGGGCGGGAGCCUGAACCAGCCGAGUAGCGUGCAGGAUGACGGCCCUAUGGGUUGUAAACUGCUUUUAUGCGGGGAUAAAGUGAGGGACGUGUCCUUCAUUGCAGGUACCGCAUGAAUAAGGACCGGCUAAUUCCGUG